rnacentral:tRNA from 1 species
GGUCAGAUGGCCGAGUGGUUAUGGCGCUAGUUUCAGGCUCACCUGAAAUGGAGUUUACUAGUGAGAAAUCGCGUGGGUUCGAAUCCCACUCUGAUCA